CCUACGGGAGGCAGCAGUAGGGAAUCUUCCACAAUGGACGAAAGUCUGAUGGAGCAACGCCGCGUGAACGAUGAAGGCUUUCGGGUCGUAAAGUUCUGUUGUAAGGGAAGAACAAGUGCCGCAGGCAAUGGCGGCACCUUGACGGUACCUUGCGAGAAAGCCACGGCUAACUACGUGCCAGCAGCCGCGGUAAUACGUAGGUGGCAAGCGUUGUCCGGAAUUAUUGGGCGUAAAGCGCGCGCAGGCGGCCUCUUAAGUCUGAUGUGAAAGCCCCCGGCUCAACCGGGGAGGGCCAUUGGAAACUGGGAGGCUUGAGUAUAGGAGAGAAGAGUGGAAUUCCACGUGUAGCGGUGAAAUGCGUAGAGAUGUGGAGGAACACCAGUGGCGAAGGCGACUCUUUGGCCUAUAACUGACGCUGAGGCGCGAAAGCGUGGGGAGCAAACAGGAUUAGAUACCCUGGUAGUCCACGCCGUAAACGAUGAGUGCUAGGUGUUGGAGGGUUUCCGCCCUUCAGUGCUGAAGCUAACGCAUUAAGCACUCCGCCUGGGGAGUACGGUCGCAAGGCUGAAACUCAAAUGAAUUGACGG
rnacentral:rRNA from 1 species